rnacentral:lncRNA from 1 species
AGAUAGCAGCGCUUCCCGCCCCCUCACUAUUCUUCCCUGUAACAAUCACCCUCACCUCUGCUCUCCUCCCUCUCCGGCCCUCCGAAGUGGGGCAGAACCGUAGGUACCACCCAGACCCACCAAGAUCAGAUCCAAGCAGCCCAACCAGCCGCGUCGACUGCCAGCGAUGACUGUGAGCACAUCCGCUGCCCCCACCCGGACCGCGAUCCUUCUGUCCCCCCGCGGCGCUCCGGCCCCAGCCCCUCCACACCACGCGACCCCCUGAGGCUCCCGGGGCCAUCUUACCCCCUACGCAACUUGACCCAGCCCCUGGGUCCUGGGAGCUCGGGAGAGGGGCGCCGCGCUCGUUUCCCGGGACCAUCUCGCCACUGCUCCAAGCCGCAUUUCAACAUUUCGCCUUCGACAGCGGUCGGAGAGGAAAGUAAUAGAGCGCCCCCCUCCUCCCUCUCCCUUCCUCCCGACUCCCUGGCCCUCUGCUGGGGUUAAAAAGGAGAAGUGAAAGGUAUGCAAAUGACAAGCAAAUUGGAAGAGCCUGGAAGAAAGGCAGCUCUAAUAAACAAGACAAAGAGAAAGGACGUGGGGACUGGCCCAGGAGUUUUCACCCGGGGAGAUGGGAAGGAUGGAGCUGGGAGGAGAGCGGGGACCCAGACGAACAAAAAGCAAGCCGGUCCCCCUCGCGGUCCUCUCUCCCGAGAAGAGAGGGCGAGAGAAAGAAGGAAAGGAAGCAAACGCCUCCUCACCCCGCAGAAACAGUACACAAAAGAACAAGCCGGUGCAAGUGAUUCUGGAAAAGGGGAGGGGACUCACGAGGGGAGAAGAUACUUACGCGGUGCAGAGAGCAGUGGGACCGAGCCUUUUUUGCAGGCGGAGAGAGGAAAACACACGCGCGCACACACACGAGUCCUUUCACCUUCCCUGUUUUAUAAAUGGCAAACCUUUCCUAAACAAGCUGUCCAUCCAACCGCCAAAACCACAGGACAAGAAUUUCUACUCAAGGGGGAAACAGCAAGAAAGAAAAAAAGGUCACCAUUCCUAGUGAGUUUAGAUGCCACUGAUACAAUCCCAACAUCACAGAAUGGAAGGAGUUUGGGUUCCAGAGUAACCAGCCUCGCAGGAGAGCUGCCAGACUUGGCUUGGACAGCGACACGAGGGAGAAACAAACGUAUAUGUGAGAUCGCUGAGGUCAUGUUACCGCGACUGAAGUAAGAUAAGGUGGUGUCCGGAGUAUGGGGUCUGGAGCUUGACUACCUGGAUUCAAAUCCCUGCUCAGUCAUCUCUUGGCUGUGUGACUUAAGGUAAGUUACUCACCCUCUCUGUGCCUCAAUGUCUUCAUCUGGUGGAUGGAGCUCACAGACUCUAGUCUGUCAUAGGGUAGCUGUGAAGAUUAGACGAGUCGAUGCAUGUAGAGAGCUUCUAACAGUGCUUGACCUUGAGCAGCCAUUCAGUACAUUAUACAUUAGCAAGGUGGGAUAAGGAAAUGGGGGUUUGGGAAGGUGAAUGGCUGACUCCAAAGCACUUACGUUGGGAUCCACAGUGGAAACUCUUCUAAUCUUUUAUCAACAACCAGAUGAGAAGAUACAUCUGCUUCUGCUUCUAAGAGUUGGUGAUUCUCAUCCUUCUCUCUGCACUUGCCCUUGCCGUGUCCUUGGUCAGCACAGAGGAAGGACAACAGCCCAUCUCCCUCACAUCGGAAGUGGCUCCACAAGUUGGCCUUCACUGCCAUCAACCCUAACAGGUGUGGUGCUCUAUCUCCACAGUCCUCCAGAGCGCCCUCAAGUCCCUCAGGGUGUCUUUACUCCAAGAAGGGGUUCUAGACUAGACAAGCAGAGGUGUUGCAGAAAGGAAGAUACUGCAAAGGAUUCAGGCAGCAAAGGGUGUGCUCCCCACACUGGGGAAGACAUCUGGGCAGAAGGGCCUGGGCUGGACCUCACAUCCAUCCCUCUUCCCUUGGGGUCCUUGACCACCCUUGAGAAUGGCACCUACAUGCUCUAAUUCUCCAUAAAAUCCAGAGGCAAAAUGUCCCUGCUGUAAAGACCUUGAACCCUUUUUGGGAAGGUUUUAUGAACUUAAUAUCAUGGGUUGCUCUAACCCCAGCCUUUGUCCUGACAGCAUCUGCUCAGGGAGUUUGAGAUUCAGCCAGUCUGUAAAGAGCUUCAGAUCCAGGGCUUUGAGGUGGGGAGAAGUGGUCACCUUGGAGAAAGCAGGAAACUGUGGCCAGCUGGGGCAUUCUUUGCUAUAGAUUCCAAGAGACAAACUUGCUGAUCCCAGGUCAAGUCUGCCCCUGCUUCCCUGCAUCUAGAACCAUCUCUGGCUCCACCUCCCAUUAACACCCCAGAACAGAUUCCCUACCCACCUCCUCAAGAAGAACAUUGCCUCUGGGGAUUUUCUAAGAGUUUUUAGGAUAAGCAGCAGUUAGAAGCUAACAAUAAGUAAAAUUUCCAGAAAUCAAGAGAAACUUGCAAUGUUCCUUGACACUUUAAAUGAUGCACUUGAAACAAGAGGCUUACAUUAGGAUCUAAAUUAGAGUUCUUGAGUGGCUUUUUGUAUUUUUUCUUUCACGUUAACCUGACUACAACUUUAUCUUCUCCAUUCACUUCCAAGAAGUCCUUAUAUAAUAAAGAGUUGAAGGCUGAAGCCCUUGCUUCCUCAAUAGGGGGCAGGCUCACCAGCUCCAUCUUGUCAGUUACCUCUUAAUGGUUGGUAGGAUGAGGGAAGCUUUCUCAAAGGACAGUUAAAAUAGUGCUUUAAGAAAUCCUCAGCCAAUAAAUAGUUGCUUCCAGAGUUAUAAAGUCAGUUUUCUUAACCUCUCAAUCUCAACUCAACUCAAAUUACAAAGUUUACAUGCCUUUGGGGAUGGCUGUAUUAAGUAAAUAGAGAGGAAUGGUCACAUUCAGUGUAAGCUAAAACACCCAAGGCUGGCAGUAGGAAAAGGAGCUACCUACCUAUCAGGUCUUUCAUAAAGCCAGUCCCUUAAGUAGAAAGAAUAAAGUUCUCUCAAGACUUACCCUAUGGACUGCCUUUCACAGCUGGUUCAUAUUUAUAAGCCAAUUUGUCUGGAAGUAAAUCUCUUUAACACACCCAACUGACUCCAAGAGGUGUGUCCCAUGGGAACCAAUCUUAAAUAACUGUCUCAAGAAAAGUUUUAGCAGCAAUAUUGUCAGUCCUGGAAUUUCCACCUUUGGGGGGAAAAAAAAUCAACAAUAGAAUGCUUGGAAAUACAGAAUACACAGAGUUUAGCAAACUGCCAAAUUAAAUUCAGACACACACACACAAAUCUGCUAAUACCUGGUUAAAGAGUUGGCAUGGGAAGAAACAGACUUCUCAUUCAAGCCUGAAGCUCGGUAAUGGGUCAUUUGACCUGAAAUAACUUGGGCGGAAGUUGGCCUUAUUGUCUUCCACAAUCUCUUCCCACACAGUCAAAAAAGGGGAUGCAAUCUUAAGAUUUUUUCUUCCUCAUUCUCUCCCGCCCUUUCUCCUCUCCCUCCCUCCCUUUUAUUUUCUCUCUCUCCUUUCUUCCUUCUUUUCUUUCUCUUUCAAUCUUUGGGCAUCAAAAAGGGUAUCCCAGAAAACUUCAAAUGAAGUUUUAGAAGAGGACCGUGUGUUGGUUUCAGUUGUUUUUAGGGUGGGGGCUUGAACAACCUCAUCUCAAAAAUGGAGAUUUUUUUUAUUACCUCUUUUGGUUGAGAUAUAAUUAAUAUAUAAUAAAGCUAUCUAAUUUACUGAAUUGGUCUGAUUCACAAGUUAAAUAAGGUUAAAUCAAAGAAAACAUGUAUAAGUCCCUCUAGACAGUGUCCAGGGUUGACUGGAUUAUAAACAGACAUAACCACUGAGGUCACUUUUUAAUUUAAAAACCCUCAAUGGCUCCUGACUUCCUACAGAACAGUCUAAAAAUCUAAGGCUCAAAAAUGUCAGGCUCUCCUUUCUAGUGCUACCUGCUGCCCCCAUCUCUUAUACAUACCAUUUGUCAGAUGCAACCAGAUAAUAGAAAUUUCCAGUCUCUCAGCUUCCUCCUGCUGCCCCAGGUCUGCUUAUCAAGGCCCUGCCCAUCCUUCAAAGUCAGAAGUCAUCUCCUCCAUGGAGUCCUCCAGGUCAGUCCUGCUGGUAUUCAUUUCCUUGCCUAUGGCCUAUCUCAUUACAUUGUUAUUGCUGCUAAGGUAUUUGACACAUUCUGUUUCAUAUUAACUACUUCCUGUGACGAGCACCCUUCUUUCGUGUAAUUUUGAUAAACAUUCAUUGAGCAUCUAUAAUAUGUGGGCAGAGAGCCAGGCAUGGGGAGGAGCUCGGCAGAGGUACAGAGAUGAGUGAUGUGGUGUUUACUCUGGAAGAGCUCAGGGCCUGGUGGGGAGCCUUGAGGUGGCAAGUCCCACCAUGCACGAUCCAUCUCCAGCAGUGUCUACGGUUUCCAUGCACACCAGAUAUAGAUGCUAAUACAAAUGAAGCCGUGCUAAAGGUAAAAAAAAAAGAAAAAAAAAAAAAAAAAAAAAA